AUGCCCCGCCGUAGUCCAGAAGAUUGCUGUCACUCAAGUCUGUGUCUGUUCAAAACUGAUGAAACAGCAUCACUGGUCUCCUGGCAAACGAGUUAACAAAGUAACAGACAAACUAUCAAAACGAAGCUUCCAUGAGGAAAAUUAAAAUGCACCAAACAAAUGUAGGCCUAUUCGAUCAUCAAUGAAAGUUUGGAUAGUGGCACAUUAACGUCUUUGUUGUUGUUUAGUUAUGUUGAGGGCGGGACUGAGACCGAAAUGAACAAGGCGCGGCCAAGGAACCCUUCACACGUGCAGACAAAGGACCCAACAACACAACCAAAAUAUUCACUUUCAAACUUUUUGAGAAGCUGCGAAGACUUCGGAAACCAGACAAAAAGCAAAGGUGGAGUUUGAAACAAGAUUUACUUGCAAAGCUCUGUUCGGGAAAACGGUUUGGAGGUACGGGACAUUAAGCAAGCAUCCUACAGGGAUUCAUGGCGCGACUGUUGGAACAUUUAUGGAAUUCUAAGUCCAGGAAACUAUUGGAUUAUACCUUUAAUCGCCUGAAGUCAUGUGAAUAGUUGGUGCAUUAGAUCACCAGAAUGAUAUGGUUCAAAGUGGAUGGUGAGGAACACAGUGUUUCCAUACAGCCAGUGUGGUGUCACUGUAGCAGAGGGGGGUUUUGGUGACCCCGGGAGGACACGUGGACAGGGCCUCCGAGAGUUGCAGCUCGGCGUGCUGACGAGGUCUCGUGUCACACGUUGGGACCAGAGGCCCGGCGCGGCCUGUUAGACCACCAUGCAGGUCAGCAUCCACACCUCUGGAGGAGCUGGAGGGAACACCCAGGAGGCUUCACAAGGACCACAGGCUGGGGAGGAACGCCGUCGGGAGCCUGAGACAGACUGUGGAGACGGGAGCAAGCGGAGCAGUGGGUGACUGCGUUUGACGGGGGGCCUCAUGAAAGGUGUCUUUGACGAAGGGCAUCAGCAGAUCUGGGUGUCCGUGCCACGGAAGCAAGCGCAGAUGAGAGGUGUUAGGUGGCCCCCUCAGAGCCGAGCAACAGUCAUCAGCUCACAGGAAGUGUGCAGGAAGUGAUAUCCGUGGUCGAGGGACCUGCCCGGGCUAGUCUGGAGACCAGACGCCUAACUGCCGCUCUGCACCUGAGUCCUGGAGAGGGAGAUUACAGUGUCACGUGGAGACGGAGGAACCUCUACUGGGCAAGACAAGACAAGACUCGCCGACUGAUUUGAACGCAUUCAAGAUGCCGGAGUAGAGGAAUGUUGACCUACGUAGCUGUGGAGGAAUAGCAGACAGGAAAAACAAGGCUAAAGGUGUCCACACAAGGGCAAGAUCCAGCUUGCUUUCCUUCUGUUAUGGAACAUCUUGGUACCCGCAUCCACCAUUAGACCUGCCCUGUGGUACAGCCAGAGGAGGCCAGAUCCCUGGGAGCCUUAAUGAGGGUGGACGGGCCUCCACUUCCAUCCACCUCUUCACCUCCAGAACACACCGCUGACAUUUCCUCACAGUCCCCUGGGGUUCCGGCCAAACUUCUGACUGGCAGACUGACUACCGGGGUCUUAUCAUGCACACAGCCAGAGCUCUUCAGGUGUGUGUGUGUGCAGUGCACAUGCACACUACACACAAAUGGCUCUCUUGGGUCACUGACUGCCUCAACAGUGACCCAAGGGGUCCGGGCCAAGGGGAUAGAAUUGGAAGUCAUGCGGGCAGAAGGGGGUAGAUAGCAGGGGCCAAGUAGCAGGGGCCAGGCAGGAGGGCUGAGGCCAACCUGGAGGCUGACAUGCCCUCACAGCGGCCGACACGCCGGGGACCUGGGUCAGGUCUGUGAGGGAGCUGGCUGACUGGACCACCUUUAACACUCGACCACAUUGAUGAGGUUGUCUUGAGACGACAGUGUUUUAUGUUUCAGCCUAUUACCUCACCUAAGAGCAUGACCUUAAUCAAAAGUGAACUGCAAUUUGUUUAUUUGAUUUUAUGUAUCAAAUUUGUUGAAGACAUGCUUUCUCUAAUAAAAGCCUGGUCUACAGCAAAAGUCUGAACAGUCUGAAUAUGAAAAGUCAAUUGGUGUAAUGACUCUUUCUACACUUUCCAAGAACAUACCCAAAAAUAGAACCGCUUCUUUGGGGAUGA